rnacentral:lncRNA from 1 species
UGUUUUCUGUUAUUUUCCUUCCUUCUUUCAUAUGUUUAACUUGAUGCUUUAUUUUUGAAGUAGAUUUAAAUAGUUGUCUUCUGCUUUUUUUCUUUUCUAAUAUAUUCACAUUUAAGGCUUUAAAUGUUUAUGGAUUGCUUUAGCUGCAUCCCACAAGUCUUGAUGAGUUGUAUUUUUACCAUUGUUAAUACAUUUUCUAAUUUCCAUGGUGACCUUUUGAUUCCUGAGUUAUUUAGAAAUUGUUUGGUUUAAGCGUAUGGAACAUUUAAUAAACUUUUACUUCUAACAAUGCCACAGUAGUCACAAAACAUACCCUGAAAAAUUUCAAACUUUUGAAAAUUGUUACAACAUUAUAGCCCUAGACACGGCUAAUUUUAUAAAUUUCCAUGUGCAUCUGAAAUGAAUGUAUAUUCUGUGGUUGUAUUUAACUAUUAACUUAAUUUUUAAUAAUCUUCUUUAUAGAAAAAUCAAAAUAUUAAAAUUUAUUUUAAAUAUAUAUUUCUCUUUACUGAUAUAUUUAUUUAGAUAUAUAUUAAAAAUGAAGUAUUUACUAAAAUUCAAAUUUUUAAUAAAAUUUGUAUCCAUAAUUUUAUUAGUAAUCACAAUGAAAAUUUUAUUUCAUUGUGUAAACAAAAUUGCUAAAGCAGACCAGAGGCAUUUGAAAUAUAAGGAUGACAAUGUGGUUUUUUUUAAUCAGACCCAGAAAUAAAAUAACUCUAGAGGAUUUUACUAAUCCUUUGGUUAACUAGUAGUCUGCUUUAGACAGCUCAGUCAUGUCAAACUUUCAACAGAUUAAAAAAUAUGAAUUCAGGGGGGCACAGUCUUUGAGGCAUUAGCCUGCUAUGACCCUCAUUUGCCUGGCAAAGCAAUAAAGCUGUAUUUUCUUCUUCGCCCCCUGCCCCCCACUGCCCCAAAUAGAUUUAGGAGUUCCUGUCAUGGCUCAGCAGAAACAAAUCUGACUAGUAUCCAUGAAGACACAGGUUAGAUCCCUGGCCUCACUCAGUGGGUCAGUAAUCCAGCAUUGCCAUGAGCUGUGGUGUAGAGAGAACCAAAUUGAGAGUUGAGCAACUUGGCCAAAUAUAAACUCCUAUUUCACAUUAAGUUUAUUUUAACAUGUAUUAAAUCUAGUCUGGAUAUAGACUUCUUUCUCAUACAAAGUCUAUUUGACUUAAAUGUAUUUUUAUUUGUUGGCAUAUAUACAAUUUUUAAAUUAUUUUUCCUUUGAAUUUUAUUAGUAAAAAUAUCCUACUGGUAUUCAGUCUUUUAAUGGCCAGAUUUCCAGUCUCGGAAACAGUGUCUCUGAUGUACUUUACCAUUAACUACUCAUAGAAGCAGGACAUGUAUUAUAGGAAAACCUAUGAUUUCAAAUUUAAUUCCUUCAAAAUAUAAGUUCCAUGUUUUGGGGCAUAAACACUUUACCAGUCCAAUUCAGCUUUACUAAUGUGAUCAUUACAGCAAAAGAAAAUACACCCAAAAUGGUUGAUUUUGAAUGAUGAAAUUAUGAGUAAUUUUUAUUUAGAAUUUUAAAACCUUUACAUGUUUUGUAUAAUGACAGUUUUCAUUCCCCCACCUUUGUCCUAAAGCCAGUGCCUCAGAGGCUGAGUGCAGUGAGGAAGCCCUCCUCCUGAGUAAGGGAGGAGAGGAGCACAAUAUGGGGUACUGGAACUCAAAUGAGAUGAAGAGGGUGUCACACAGGAGUGUGUAUGUGUAUGCAAAUUUAAAACAUAUAGGUAUACACACACAUAAAGCCCCAAAGCUUCAUCCACUGAGAAGGUGUGGUGGCACAGACAUCCCAGUUAUAACAGGCACAUCUCACACAAAUUGUAGUUUCUAACUAACAAUUUCCAAUAAGAGGUAGAGAAACAGUUGAUUCCAGAGCUGGAGCAGGAAAGUAAAAGAAAGUUUGGAAAAACCUGUGUGCUCAAAAGUUAGAAAGUACUUAAAAAAUGAUAGCAACAUGUCAAAAAGACAUAGGAGACAACUUGAAGGGGCUCCCACUGGUCAAUGGCAAGACAAUGUAAGACUCAAAUAAAUAACAGAUUAUAACCCACUGACUAGAAAAACCAUGAAUUCAUACUGAUAUUAAUAAACUGAAAUUUUGAUUAGUGGCAGGAUAUAUGCAUAGCUUCAAAAUACCUCUCCACAAAAUACUUACAAAGGGACAAAGUAACUUUACUGUGGAGAAGCCUGAUAGGAAAUACCUUAAGCAAAUGCUCAUAAUGACUAUUAUCAGAAAGGGGGGCAAAAUGAAAUUGUGCACCACUAUCUCAUAGAAUGCAAUAAGAACACAGAACUGCUUUUCUAAUACCUCUG